UUGCAGUUAAAGCUCGUAGUCGGAUUUCAGUAGGCUCAGUUAAGUCUCUUCUAUUGAGUUCUUUAUGGGCCUGCUUCUUUGACAGAAACUUCUAUGUUAUUCAUUUAGCGUGGGUAGCGACUGUCUCUUUUACUUUGAGAAAAUUAGAGUGUUCAAAGCAGGUAUUCGCCUGAAUAUUACUCUUGGAAUAAUGCUAUAAGACUUUGGUUCUAAUGUAUUGGUGAUUGGGACCAGAGUAAUGAUUGAUAGGGACGGUUGGGGUCUUACGUACUGCAAAGCGAGAGGUGAAAUUCUUGGACCUUUGUAUGACGAACAACUGCGAAAGCAUUGGACUAGGACGUUCCCGUUGAUCAAGAACGAAAGUUGGGGGAUCGAAGACGAUCAGAUACCGUCGUAGUCUCAACCAUAAACUAUGCCAGCUAGGGAUCGGAGGACGUUACAUGUUCGACUCCUUCGGCACCUUAUGAGAAAUCAAAGCAUUUGGGUUCCGGGGGGAGUAUGGUCGCAAGGCUGAAACUUAAAGGAAUUGACGGGAGGGCACCACCAGGAGUGGAGCCUGUGGCUUAAUUUGACUCAACACGGGAAAACUUACCAGGUCCGGACAUAGUAAGGAUUGACAGAUUGAAAGCUCUUUCUUGAUUCUAUGGGUGGUGGUGCAUGGCCGUUCUUAGUUGGUGGAGUGAUUUGUCUGGUUAAUUCCGUUAACGAACGAGACCUCAGCCUGCUAAAUAGUACGGCCCUAUUCUUAGGGUCGCGACUUCUUAGAGGGACUAUGUGCGUUUAGCACAUGGAAAGUUUGAGGCAAUAACAGGUCUGUGAUGCCCUUUAGAUGUUCUGGGCCGCACGCGCGCUACACCGACGACUCAACGAGCUUA
rnacentral:rRNA from 1 species